rnacentral:rRNA from 1 species
UGGGGAAUAUUGCACAAUGGGCGCAAGCCUGAUGCAGCCAUGCCGCGUGUAUGAAGAAGGCCUUCGGGUUGUAAUGUACUUUCAGCGAGGAGGAAGGCGGUAAGGUUAAUAACCUUAUCGAUUGACGUUACUCGCAGAAGAAGCACCGGCUAACUCCGUGCCAGCAGCCGCGGUAAUACGGAGGGUGCAAGCGUUAAUCGGAAUUACUGGGCGUAAAGCGCACGCAGGCGGUCUGUCAAGUCGGAUGUGAAAUCCCCGGGCUCAACCUGGGAACUGCAUUCGAAACUGGCAGGCUAGAGUCUUGUAGAGGGGGGUAGAAUUCCAGGUGUAGCGGUGAAAUGCGUAGAGAUCUGGAGGAAUACCGGUGGCGAAGGCGGCCCCCUGGACAAAGACUGACGCUCAGGUGCGAAAGCGUGGGGAGCAAACA